GAUCACAGCAUCCUGUUAUUUUCCUUGUAAGCACCUCAUAUCCUUCAUUCUUUAGGCACUGUGAGCCCUGAGAUGUUCAAGAAGAUGUCCAACUCAGAGAUCAUCCAGCACCUGACAGAGCAAUUUAAUAAGCUAUGAAACUGACGACCUCCCUGGUAAGAGUUGCCCUCCAACUGAGUCUGCACCAAGAUAACAAUGAGCGUCAGUAUGAGGCUGAAAGAAACAAGGGGCCAGGGCAGAGGGCACCUGAGCGGCUGGAGAGCCUGUUGGAGAAACGCAAAGAGGUGAGGAGUGUUCCCUGCUGCUUCCUUUCCUUUUUCCCAGCUUGCACCCACUUCUGCCACAGACCCCCUUAUCAGGCCCUGGGCAGUCUUUCAAGAUCAUGAAUAAUGGAGUCUGGCAGUAGUUUCAUAGACCCAUCCUGUAAGGGGUCGUUGCGUGCUCAACUUUUUUCUGGGUUGUGGCUCAAUAAACAAUGUGUAAUUUAGAGUUCUCUUGAAUUCCACUUUUGCUCAGUUUUUCGUUGUCAGCACUCAUUGUCAGGAGUGUUUAAGUGCUGUACCUGCCUGUCAUGCAGGGAAUUAAGUUUUGACCUACUUGUCAAGUGUGCAUUGUGCAAAUGACCGCAGGAGUACUAAAAGCCAACCAUUGACAAGGGAGGCCACAUUUUCAAGGAAUGGAAAGAGCACAGGCCUUCCAGUGAACUCCUGGCUUUAAAUUCUGUUCCAUUUAGUCACUAGCUCCAUAGCCUUAUGUAACCUCUCUUCAGUGUUCUUUUCCUUAAAAAAGGGAUAACCUCACCUUUUUGUGAAGAAUAAAUGAGAUGAGGAGUAAAUUGUGUCACUUGGCA